AUGGCAGUGAUGAUUGGCGCAGGGGUACGGACCUCAGCUGGAUCAUGGGAGCUGAGUGCAGGCUGGUGCUUUGGGUGCAGCUGGCGUGUGGCUGGCUCGCUGCAAACGAGUCUGCAUGAGACUUUGCCAAAGGCUGAGCCAU